GGAGUCUGGACCGUGUCUCAGUUCCAAUGUGGGGGACCUUCCUCUCAGAACCCCUACCCAUCGUCGGUUUGGUGGGCCGUUACCCCGCCAACUGCCUAAUGGGACGCGAGCCAAUCCGAUACCGAUAAAUCUAUUAAACAAAGAUCAUGCGGUCUCUGUUGUUACGGAGUAUUACGCGACGUUUCCAUCGACUAUCCUCCAGUAUCGGGCAUGUUGCUCACGCGUUACUCACCCUUUCGCCGGUCGCCAUCGGGAAAAGCAAGCUUCUCCCAUGCUGCCCCUCGACUUGCAUGUGUUAGGCCUGUAGCUAGCGUUCAUCCUGAGCCAGGAUCAAAACUCU
rnacentral:rRNA from 1 species